rnacentral:lncRNA from 1 species
ACUGAAAAGUAUUCCUCUCGUUAUACAUGUGGGCGCCUAUUUAAACUAAGACAUGAAAAUUAUUCCUCUCAUUAUACAGGUGGGCGCCUAUUUAAACUAAGACAUGAAAAUUAUUCCUCUCGUUAUACAGGUGGGCGCCUAUUUAAACUAAGACUGAAAAUUAUUCCUCUCGUUAUACAGGUGGGCGCCUAUUUAAACUAAGACAUGAAAAUUAUUCCUCUCGUUAUACAGGUGGGCGCCUAUUUAAACUAAGACUGAAAAAUUAUUCCUCUUGUUAUACAGGUGGGCGCCUAUUUAAACUAAGACUGAAAAGUAUUCCUCUCGUUAUACAGGUGGGCGCCUAUUUAAACUAAGACAUGAAAAUUAUUCCUCUCGUUAUACAGGUGGGCGACUAUUUAAACUAAGACAUGAAAAUUAUUCCUCUCGUUAUACAGGUGGACGCCUAUUUAAACUAAGACAUGAAACUACCCCCUUCAGGAGUUUACUUCUCCCGGA